GAGUUUGAUCCUGGCUCAGGACGAACGCUGGCGGUGCGCUUAACACAUGCAAGUCGAGCGAGAACCAGACCUUCGGGUCUGGGGACAGCGGCGAACGGGUGAGUAACACGUGGGUAAUCAACCCUCGGUACUGGGAUAGCCCGGGGAAACCCGGAUUAAUACCGGAUGGCCCUUUGGAUCUUCGGAUCUGACGGAAAAGGUAGCUUCGGCCUCCGACCGAGGACGAGCCCGCGGCGGAUUAGCUUGUUGGUGGGGUAACGGCCUACCAAGGCGGCGAUCCGUAGCUGGUCUGAGAGGACGAUCAGCCACACUGGGACUGAGACACGGCCCAGACUCCUACGGGAGGCAGCAGUGGGGAAUCUUGCGCUAAUGCGGGAAACCGUGACGCAGCGACACCGCGUGAGGGAAGAAGGCCUUCGGGUUGUAAACCUCUUUCAGGAGGGACGAAGCUACUCGGGUUAAUAGCCCAGAGGGUGACGGUACCUCCAGAAGAAGCCCCGGCUAACUACGUGCCAGCCGCCGCGUAAUUC
rnacentral:rRNA from 1 species